rnacentral:rRNA from 1 species
ACGCUCGACACCUACGGGAGCAGCAGUGGGGAAUAUUGCACAAUGGGGGAAACCCUGAUGCAGCGACGCCGCGUGAGCGAAGAAGUAUUUCGGUAUGUAAAGCUCUAUCAGCAGGGAAGAAAAUGACGGUACCUGACUAAGAAGCCCCGGCUAACUACGUGUCAGCAGCCGCGGUAAUCUGAGCGGGCUGGCAAGGC